rnacentral:tRNA from 2 species
CGGGGUGUGGCGCAGUUGGCUAGCGCACUUGCAUGGGGUGCAAGUGGUCGUCCGUUCGAGUCGGAUCACCCCGACCA